CGGACGGGUGAGUAAUGUCUGGGAAACUGCCCGAUGGAGGGGGAUAGCUACUGGAAACGGUAGCUAAUACCGCAUAACGUCGCAAGACCAAAGAGGGGGACCUUAGGGCCUCUUGCCAUCGGAUGUGCCCAGAUGGGAUUAGCUAGUAGGUGGGGUAACGGCUCACCUAGGCGACGAUCCCUAGCUGGUCUGAGAGGAUGACCAGCCACACUGGAACUGAGACACGGUCCAG
rnacentral:rRNA from 1 species